rnacentral:rRNA from 1 species
UGUGUGUGUUAGUGGAAGCGUCUGGAAAGGCGCGCGAUACAGGGUGACAGCCCCGUACACAAAAAUGCACAUGCUGUGAGCUCGAUGAGUAGGGCGGGACACGUGGUAUCCUGUCUGAAUAUGGGGGGACCAUCCUCCAAGGCUAAAUACUCCUGACUGACCGAUAGUGAACCAGUACCGUGAGGGAAAGGCGAAAAGAACCCCGGCGAGGGGAGUGAAAAAGAACCUGAAACCGUGUACGUACAAGCAGUGGGAGCACGCUUAGGCGUGUGACUGCGUACCUUUUGUAUAAUGGGUCAGCGACUUAUAUUCUGUAGCAAGGUUAACCGAAUAGGGGAGCCGAAGGGAAACCGAGUCUUAACUGGGCGUUAAGUUGCAGGGUAUAGACCCGAAACCCGGUGAUCUAGCCAUGGGCAGGUUGAAGGUUGGGUAACACUAACUGGAGGACCGAACCGACUAAUGUUGAAAAAUUAGCGGAUGACUUGUGGCUGGGGGUGAAAGGCCAAUCAAACCGGGAGAUAGCUGGUUCUCCCCGAAAGCU